rnacentral:rRNA from 1 species
UACGUAGGGGGCAAGCGUUGUCCGGAAUCAUUGGGCGUAAAGCGCGUGUAGGCGGGUCGGUAAGUCCGCUCUGAAAGCCCGGGGCUCAACCCCGGGAGGCGGGUGGAUACUGUCGACCUCGAGUCCGGAAGAGGCGAGUGGAAUUCCUGGUGUAGCGGUGAAAUGCGUAGAUAUCUGGAGGAACACCGGUGGCGAAGGCGGCAUCCUGGACCGGCAUUGACGCUGGAGGCGCGAAAGCUAGGGGAGCAAACGGG